UUAAAAUUGAAAUUACUUUUUUUUGAAAAGCAGGAAUGGGUAUUUAUAAUAGCUACAAUUCAGUCUAAUUUUUAAUUCACUUUGACUCAUUUGGGGGCAGGGAAAUCUUACAUUUAAACGAUGCGCGGACGGGAAGAGAAUUAGGGACGUUAUCUCAUUAGGUGCGUCGGCUAGCAUUGGGUUUGGCGGAAUGGCUUUGACCAUUUUCAAUAGAGGAAGGAGUUGGUAAUAAAUCAUUGUCGAUCAACUAACGUAAAAUAUGUGUAAAGUUUUUCGAUUGAUUAUGUGAUCUAAUACUAAUAGCCAAUCACAACAUCGAGAAAAGGGUACGAUCGUUAUGUGUGCUUUCUUAUUGGCCAAUUCAAUGUCUUAGAAUUGGGGCAACUCCCUUAACUACACACAAAUAUCAAUGUAAUAGAAAAUAUGGUCAUACAAAUAAACCUUUGUUCGAAAAAAUGAAAUUAAUUAUGCUACAACAAAGGAGGGGAUGAAAAUUAUACACACACGUUUCUAUCCACUAGUAAACUUGACCCAAAUGAGAGAUAGCCGGCGCAUUUCUGUGACUAAAAUACUCCCUUCCACGUCCCGUACUGUCUUGCAUAAUAGUGGUUCGAGCUUAAUAUUAAUUGGGCGCUCUUAAAAACUACAAUCAUAUAAUAAAGG